rnacentral:rRNA from 1 species
UACGUAGGUGGCAAGCGUUGUCCGGAUUUAUUGGGUUUAAAGGGUGCGUAGGCGGUUUUAUAAGUCAGUGGUGAAAUACGGCAGCUCAACUGUCGAGGUGCCAUUGAUACUGUGGAACUUGAGUACAGACGAGGUAGGCGGAAUUGACGGUGUAGCGGUGAAAUGCUUAGAUAUCGUCAAGAACACCGAUAGCGAAGGCAGCUUACUAGACUGUAACUGACGCUGAGGCACGAAAGUGUGGGGAUCAAACAGG